rnacentral:rRNA from 1 species
UAGUGGCGGACGGGUGAGUAACGCGUGGGUAACCUGCCUUAUACAGGGGGAUAACAGUCAGAAAUGACUGCUAAUACCGCAUAAGCGCACAGGACCGCAUGGUCCGGUGUGAAAAACUCCGGUGGUAUAAGAUGGACCCGCGUUGGAUUAGCUAGUUGGUGAGGUAACGGCCCACCAAGGCGACGAUCCAUAGCCGGCCUGAGAGGGUGAACGGCCACAUUGGGACUGAGACACGGCCCAGACUCCUACGGGAGGCAGCAGUGGGGAAUAUUGCACAAUGGGGGAAACCCUGAUGCAGCGACGCCGCGUGAAGGAAGAAGUAUCUCGGUAUGUAAACUUCUAUCAGCAGGGAAGAAAAUGACGGUACCUGACUAAAAAGCACCGGCUAACUACGUGCCAGCAGCCGCGGUAAAACGUAGGGUGCAAGCGUUGUCCGGAAUUACUGGGUGUAAAGGGAGCGCAGGCGGGAAGACAAGUUGGAAGUGAAAACCAUGGGCUCAACCCAUGAAUUGCUUUCAAAACUGUUUUUCUUGAGUAGUGCAGAGGUAGAUGGAAUUCCCGGUGUAGCGGUGGAAUGCGUAGAUAUCGGGAGGAACACCAGUGGCGAAGGCGGUCUACUGGGCACCAACUGACGCUGAGGCUCGAAAGCAUGGGUAGCAAACAGGAUUAGAUACCCUGGUAGUCCAUGCCGUAAACGAUGAUUACUAGGUGUUGGGGGAUUGACCCCCUCAGUGCCGCAGCUAACACAAUAAGUAAUCCACCUGGGGAGUACGACCGCAAGGUUGAAACUCAAAGGAAUUGACGGGGGCCCGCACAAGCAGUGGAGUAUGUGGUUUAAUUCGAAGCAACGCGAAGAACCUUACCAGGUCUUGACAUCCGAUGCAUAGCACAGAGAUGUGUGAAAUCCUUCGGGACAUCGAGACAGGUGGUGCAUGGUUGUCGUCAGCUCGUGUCGUGAGAUGUUGGGUUAAGUCCCGCAACGAGCGCAACCCUUAUUGCCAGUUACUACGUUAAGAGGACUCUGGCGAGACUGCCGUUGACAAAACGGAGGAAGGUGGGGAUGACGUCAAAUCAUCAUGCCCUUUAUGACCUGGGCUACACACGUACUACAAUGGCGUUAAACAAAGAGAAGCAAGACCGCGAGGUGGAGCAAAACUCAAAAACAACGUCUCAGUUCAGAUUGCAGGCUGCAACUCGCCUGCAUGAAGUCGGAAUUGCUAGUAAUCGCGGAUCAGCAUGCCGCGGUGAAUACGUUCCCGGGUCUUGCACUCACCGCCCGUCA